UACGUAGGUGGCAAGCGUUGUCCGGAUUUACUGGGCGUAAAGAGCGCGCAGGCGGUCGUUCAAGUCGAGUGUGAAAGCCCCCGGCUCAACUGGGGAGGGUCACUCGAUACUGAUCGACUCGAAGGCAGAAGAGGGAAGCGGAAUUCCCGGUGUAGUGGUGAAAUGCGUAGAUAUCAGGAGGAAUACCGAUGGCGAAGGCAGGUCGUCUGGGCUGACACUGACGCUCAUGCACGAAAGCGUGGGGAGCAAACAGG
rnacentral:rRNA from 1 species